ACAAAUAAGAUUAAAAGGCUAUUAUGGAUCUAAAAAGAAUUGACAAUGGCCAAAAUACAAAAUUCUAAAAGAAAAUAAGAAAAAGCAGCUAGUGCCUUUCUAACUAAUUAAUGUCCAAACUCUAAUACUACAAUACAUAAAGGGUCAAUUUCAAAGAUAAUCAAGAAUAACUGAGUAAUUUUGUAUGUUCAUUUUAUGAGGUUUUGAGUUUGUGUCUUUAUUAUGUUCAGUACUAAUGAGAGAUUAUCACUAAUAAGUAAGAAAUUAUACUCCUACUAGCUAGUCGAAGUUUCUACAACAUUAGGGUUUGUAUUUGGCAUUGAUGCAUUUUAGAAAGAAAAAAGAGAGAAAAUUGGUGCAAAGUGAAGAUAUUAAACUUAAGUGGGUUCAAUCUUGACACAGCAAAGCUGCACAAAACAUCUCAAACUCCCUAAGACUUAUCAGAACGGAGGCACUCUGCCUCCCAAAGCAGUUCCAUUUGACCAUACCCAUGAGAUAUACCAGCCAACCCUCCCUAACUAUUGACUUUUGACCCUCCAGAUUCAUACCCUGGAGCACGAACAAACGAUUCGGAUUGCUGAUUAGUGGGUCCCCCCUAGAUUCCUAAAAGAAAUCGACGGUCUGGAUUCUUUAUGUUUGUGACCAGAGAAUCAUUUUCAUUUUCCCAAUAGAGACUGUGGAGUAUGGAAGGGGAGGAGGAGCUUAAUCUAGCAGUCGGCAAAUGCAAAAAGAA
rnacentral:lncRNA from 1 species